rnacentral:rRNA from 1 species
GUACGCCUACGGGGGGCAGCAGUGGGGGAUAUUGCACAAUGGGGGGAACCCUGAUGCAGCGACGCCGCGUGAGUGAAGAAGUAUUUCGGUAUGUAAAGCUCUAUCAGCAGGGAAGAAAGAAAUGACGGUACCUGAAUAAGAAGCCCCGGCUAACUACGUGCCAGCAGCCGCGGUAAUACGUAGGUGGCAAGCGUUGUCCGGAUUUACUGGGUGUAAAGGGCGUGCAGCCGGAGAGACAAGUCAGAUGUGAAAUCCACGGGCUCAACCCGUGAACUGCAUUUGAAACUGUUUCCCUUGAGUGUCGG